rnacentral:rRNA from 1 species
AGUGAACGCUGGCGGUAGGCCUAACACAUGCAAGUCGAACGGCAGCACCGUAAGAGCUUGCUCUUACGGGUGUCGAGUGGCGGACGGGUGAGGUAUACAUCGGAAUCUACUUUUUCGUUGGGGAUAACGUAGGGUAACUUACGCUAAUACCGCAUACGUCCUACGGGUGAAAGCAGGGGAUCUUCGUACCUUUCGCGAUUGAAUGAGCCGAUGUCGGAUUAGCUAGUUGGCGGGGUUAAGGCCCACCAAGGCGACGAUCCGUAGCUGGUCUGAGAGGAUGAUCAGACACACUGGAACUGAGACACGGUCCAGACUCCUACGGGAGGCAGCAGUGGGGAAUAUUGGACAAUGGGCGCAAGCCUGAUCCAGCCAUACCGCGUGAGUGAAGAAGGACUUCGGGUUGUAAAGCCCUUUUGUUGGGAAAGAAAAGCAGCAGGUUAAUACCCCGCUGUUCUGACGGUACCCAAAGAAUAAGCACCGGCUAACUUCGUG